GCCGAUGUAUUAAAAAAAAAGAUAUACGUAUAGCACGAUGCAACCAGUACCGCAUCGAUACAUGAGCUAUGAUUGAAAGUGGUGUUCACUGGUUUGGUCCUGCACUCAGCUCCCAGCCCUAGACCAUCCCCCCAUGAGCUAUGGUCAGAGUUGCAUUCCACACGUGCAUGAAUUCCCUGGUCUAAGAAAACAAAUGUAGCCUUGCAUCAAGAGUCGGUUCUCCACCUUUUUUUGGUAAGGAAAAGAAAGUUGCAUGCAUAUUGUCGGCCACUUU
rnacentral:lncRNA from 1 species